AUACGUAGGUGACAAGCGUUAUCCGGAUUUACUGGGCGUAAAGGGCGUGUAGGCGGUCUUGCAAGUCAGAAGUGAAAUUCCUGAGCUCAACUCGGGCGGAGCUUCUGAAACUGCAGGCCUUGAGUGCUGGAGAGGAUAGCGGAAUUCAUAGUGGAGCGGUAAAAUGCGAAGAUAUUAGGAAGAACACCGGUGGCGAAGGCGGCUAUCUGGACAGAAACUGACGCUGAGGCGCGAAAGCGUGGGGAGCAAACAGGAUUAGAUACCCUGAUAGUCCACGCCGUAAACGAUGAAUACUAGGUGUAGGGGGUAUCGACUCCCUCUGUGCCGCAUUUAACACAAUAAGUAUUCCGCCUGGGGAGUACGGCCGCAAGGUUGAGACUAAAAUGAAUUGACGGGG
rnacentral:rRNA from 1 species